AUACGGAGGAUCCGAGCGUUAUCCGGAUUUAUUGGGUUUAAAGGGAGCGUAGGUGGAUUGUUAAGUCAGUUGUGAAAGUUUGCGGCUCAACCGUAAAAUUGCAGUUGAAACUGGCAGUCUUGAGUACAGUAGAGGUGGGCGGAAUUCGUGGUGUAGCGGUGAAAUGCUUAGAUAUCACGAAGAACUCCGAUUGCGAAGGCAGCUCACUAGACUGUUACUGACACUGAUGCUCGAAAGUGUGGGUAUCAAACAGGAUUAGAUACCCUGGUAGUCCACACAGUAAACGAUGAAUACUCGCUGUUUGCGAUAUACAGCAAGCGGCCAAGCGAAAGCAUUAAGUAUUCCACCUGGGGAGUACGCCGGCAACGGUGAAACUCAAAUGAAUUGACGGGG
rnacentral:rRNA from 1 species